UGACCUCGAUCAGUAGAUCC
rnacentral:rRNA from 1 species